rnacentral:rRNA from 1 species
AUUGAACGCUGGCGGCAGGCCUAACACAUGCAAGUCGAACGAGUGGCGGACGGGUGAGUAAUGUCUGGGAAACUGCCUGAUGGAGGGGGAUAACUACUGGAAACGGUAGCUAAUACCGCAUACCAUCAGAUGUGCCCAGUUGGGAUUAGCUUGUUGGUGGGGUAACGGCUCACCAGGGCGACGCUCCCUAGCUGGUCUGAGAGGAUGACCGGCCACACGGGAACUUGGACACGGUCCAGACUCCUACGGGAGGCAGCAGUGGGGAAUAGUGGACAAGGGGGGCAAGCCUGAGGCGGCCAGGCCGCGUGUAUGAAGAAGGCCUUCGGGUUGUAAAGUACUUUCAGCGGGGAGGCGGUACCCGCAGAGGAAGCAACGGCUAACUACGUGCCAGCAGCCGCGGUAAUAC